UAUUAAAGGUCCAACCUGCCCAGUGAAUAUUUCAACGGCCGCGGUAUCCUAACCGUGCAAAGGUAGCAUAAUCACUUGUCCCCUAAAUAGAGACUUGUAUGAACGGUUAGAUGAGGGCUUAACUGUCUCCUGCAGCCAAUCAAUGAACUUAUGCUUACAGUACAAACACUGUAAUACAACUAUAAGACGAGAAGACCCUGUGGAGCUUAAAACUACUACAUUAACUAACUCCUUAACCCAUAGUAAUCAUAAUGUAAACUUUAAGUUGGGGCGACUAUGGAGUAAAAAAAACCCUCCAUGUAACACGACUAAAACUCGACAUAACAGGCUGACAAGCCUAACCAAAAAUGAUCCAGUCAAACUGACUAACGAACCAAGUUACCCCAGGGAUAACAGCGCCAUCCCCUUAAAGAGUUCACAUCGCCAAGGGGGUUUACGACCUCGAUGUUGGAUCAGGACACCCAAGUGGUGCAGCCGCUACUAAAGGUUCGUUUGUUCAACGAA
rnacentral:rRNA from 1 species